rnacentral:rRNA from 1 species
UACGAAGGGUGCAAGCGUUAAUCGGAAUUACUGGGCGUAAAGCGCGCGUAGGCGGUUUUUUAAGUCAGAGGUGAAAGCCUGGAGCUCAACUCCAGAACUGCCUUUGAAACUGGAAAACUUGAAUCUUGGAGAGGUCAGUGGAAUUCCGAGUGUAGAGGUGAAAUUCGUAGAUAUUCGGAAGAACACCAGUGGCGAAGGCGACUGACUGGACAAGCAUUGACGCUGAGGUGCGAAAGCGUGGGGAGCAAACAGG